UACGUAGGGUGCAAGCGUUGUCCGGAAUUAUUGGGCGUAAAGAGCUCGUAGGCGGUCUGUCGCGUCUGCUGUGAAAACCUAGGGCUUAACUCUGGGCGUGCAGUGGGUACGGGCAGGCUAGAGUGCGGUAGGGGAGACUGGAAUUCCUGGUGUAGCGGUGAAAUGCGCAGAUAUCAGGAGGAACACCGGUGGCGAAGGCGGAUCUCUGGGCCGUAACUGACGCUGAGGAGCGAAAGCAUGGGGAGCGAACAGG
rnacentral:rRNA from 1 species